AUUGAACGCUGGCGGCAGGCCUAACACAUGCAAGUCGAGCGAGCGGCGGACGGGUGAGUAAUGUCUGGGAAACUGCCUGAUGGAAGGGUAUAACUACUGGAAACGGUAGCUAAUACCGCAUACCAUCAGAUGUGCCCAGCUGGGAUUAGCUAGUAGGUGGGGUAACGGCUCACCUAGGCGACGAUCCCUAGCUGGUCUGAGAGGAAGACCAGCCAAACGGGAACUGAGACACGGGCCAGACUCCUACGGGAGGCAGCAGUGGGGAAUAUUGCACAAUGGGCGAAAGCCUGCUGCAGACAGGCCGCGUGUGUGAAGAAGGACUUCGGGUUGUAAAGCACUUUCAGCGGGGAGGCGUUACCCGCAGAAGAAGCAGCGGCUAACUCCGUGCCAGCAGCCGCGGUAAUAC
rnacentral:rRNA from 1 species